rnacentral:misc_RNA from 1 species
AAUUAUUACCCUUAUAACUUUUAAUCCCUCAUUAAUAGUGUUUGGAUAUUUAAGGAGACUAGGUUAAGGAAGGGCCCACUGCCUAGGAUUUAUUUUUGACAGAAACACAUUUCCAAUUUUUCACAAUUUGCAGAAACAGCCCAGGGACAUUUCGUACGCAUGUCCAAGAGUUUCUGUUUCAGAAACGUGUAACAUUGAAACACAGCUCAGGAUGCGUUUCCGUGCUAAAUAGGUGAUGACUAAACAAUGGUAUAAUCUCGAUUGCAGCAACAACGGAGUGGAGAGGUUAUGACAAACAGGUGAUGGUUGUUGCUAAAAGUAUACAACCAACAUAGGUGGGAAUGAGGAUUUUGCUGGUGCUGGUUGUAAUUAUGCAUAGAUGUAAUAUGCAUGCAGUACCACCAAAUGAUAGAUCUAAGCACCCAAUGAAAUAAGAAAAAAGAAAUUGCAAUUUGCAUACCUCAGUUUGUCAUCAACAAAAU